AUGUCUUUGAAGUUUAGCCUGGUACCAUGGUUCAGACUCUCAUUCUUUUUAAGGUUCAGCAGUACUCCCUUUUACCUAUAUACCACAUUUUGUUUAUCUAUCAUCUAUGCAUGGACACCUGGUUUGUUGACACUGUUGACAAUACUUUCUAAACUCCAGCAGGAGAUACAGAUCCAGAAAGAAAAAAUCAAGUCUGACUUUAAGCAUCUGCAGACUUUUCUCCAUGAAGAAGAGCAGUUGUAUCUCUGGAGGCUGGAGAAAGAAGAAGAGAAGAUGCUGAGGGGACUGAGGGAGAGUGAGGCCAACAUGCAGCAGAAGAGCAAUGAGCUCAAGAGCCACAUCCUGGAACUGGAGGCUAAGUGUCAGGGUUCAGCCCAUAAGCUGAUGAAGGAUGUGAAAGACACCUUGAGUAGGGCUUGUGCUGUGAAGCUGGAAACACCUGAAGCCUUUUCCUUGGAGACAGGGACUGCAUGUGAUGUUGCUGAGCUUUACUUGGAUGUGAAGACGAUGUUAAGGUGCCAUCAAGUCAGUGUGACUUGGGAUCCAUACCAAGCUCAUCUUGCCCUACCUCUGUCUGAGGAUCAGAGACAAGUGUCUCCUGGAUGAAGCCAGCAGAAUCCUGGGCUUUCCUCCAGGAGAUCUACCACCUUUCCCUGCUUCCUGGGCAGAAAGGGCUUCACCUCAGGAAGACAUUACUUCAAAGUGGAUGUUGGAGAAGGAACAGCUUGGGAUGUGGGAGUCUGCAUGGCAACUGUGCACAGAGGCCUAGACACGAAGCAGAAGCCAGAGUUGGAUUCUGGACCAUUCAGCUGUGCACAGAGAAUGGCUAUGUAGCACUGACCUCUCCCCCCACUGCCCUUGAGCUGCAUGAGCAGCCCCUGCUGGUGGGGGUUGUUCUGGACUAUGAAGCUGGAGCUGUGUCCUUUUACAACAUGACCAAUGGCUCCCACAUCUUUACCUUCCCCAGGGCUUCCUUCUCUGACACUCUGAGGCCCUUUUUCCAGGUUUAUCAACAUUCCCCUUAGUUCCUGUGUCCAUUAGGUGAGUAGGGAAAGGAGCAAAGUCUCCUUGGCUUGAAAAUAUGGGAAUCUUGUAAGGACAGAGUUGGUCAGUUUUCUUCUCUGGUAUGUCUCUAGUCUAUUAGAAUGGUGCUGGGCUGUUAGUCUCUGAAAACACACCACAUGAUAAGCCUGAGAGGGAAAAACAAGAUAAUGUCAUGACCAGACAUUGUCCUCUGCAUCUCUCUUCAUUUCCAGUGGUGACUGAUUGAUGAGUAGGGUGACUCUGAGGCCAAGAGGUCCCAAUUCUCUUACUUUAUGUGAGCCAUUUGGAGUCAUGUAUGGCGGAUUAAAGAAAGUUGCAUUUUUUUGCCAACUCUCUAAAGAACAGGAAAAUUAAAAAUGUGUUGUUUUAUCCAAUCAAUAACACAUUUAUUUUUAAUUUUUAAUGGGAGCUGCAGUCUUGGAGUGAGCCAGACCUGGUGAGCUUGCCUGGAAAAUCACCAAGAAAGGUUGAGAAAAGCUAAGGCUGGUGUACUGUGAGAGGCUUCAAAUGGAAACAGGAGUAGGAGUAAAACAUGAUUUUCAAAACAAGACUCAGUUCGAGAAAAGAGAGUAAUGGGUAUUCUGCAGGCUGGGCUAGAGGCAGCUAUAGUGAGACAUUUUGAAAUCUCAGUAAAUAGUUAUUUGUGGGAUAACUGUCGGCAAUCUUUGUUAUGGCUAUGAUAUGAUCAAACAGACCUUAAUUCUACACAUGAGUUUGUUUAGGAAGUAAAUUCCAGUUGGUUUUACAUGGUCUUACCUGAAUGGGGUAAUGACAGGACAAAGCCAAAGAACCUCAGUGUUCAUGAUAGAAUUCACAAAAUUGCUAAAAGUUAUGAUAAUUUGUAGCUGAUAUAAAAAUUAAUGUUUGCUGAUGUUGAGGUCCUCUGAUGUCAUGUCUCUAAGAAUGAGAGAAUGAAGCAGAGCAGUUUCUGGAUGGUGGAGUCAUUCUGGGGCCUCCAGCUCUGCCCAAAACAGGACCUAGACGAGGUCAGACCAUCGGCCAAGCUCCCAGUGUCAUAACUUCUCAUCAGAAUGGUGGCACAUGGAUUUUCAAGAAUAGGUGAAGGGUCUUGAAAUAUGCUACCCUACUAGAUGUCAUUUCAGCAUGGGAUUAUUUGAGCUAAAAACAAUUAAGAAAAAUGAGAUACAAUAAGCACACUCUACCCUGUUCCAUCUUCCUAGAAACAGAACCUCAAUUUGUAAAGGUAUCUCCGAGACUCUAGCCUGGAGUAAUUAUUCUUCACAAACCUUGUAAAUACCAGCCUUUAUCUACCAUUUCUUUUCCUAUAUAUUUGCUUUCCUGUCAUUUACCAACCUGAAAACUCAAAGUCCUUUGCCUUUGCUUUGUCACUUCUCUAGCAAUGUAUAUACUUAAAAUACAGGAAAGCUCAAAUUCAAACCACUCAUUUGCCUUACUUAUCUCUUGCUAUUCUAUUAUGUGCAUGUGAUGGACAUGGUGAAAACUUCUAUUUGCUUUUCUGUUCAAUGUGUCCUUUUAGUCUAGUUUCUAGAGACUCACUUACUUUUCCUCUCCCCCUUAUAAAUAUAGUGCACUAGCCUUCAUUGCAUAACUGAUGAAUUCACUUUUGUGAAGCACCCAUGAAAGGGCAACCGGGUUAUGGACACAUUUCUAUUUCUUGCUUUUGUGGAAAUAAAACAGAGUAUGGUGAAAACAAUAUUUCAAGAGCUUGUAAAGGUAGGGCUUAUGCACAAUUCCGGUUGCAGCCUGGUUAAGUCACCUCCACCACUUGCCUAUGGUCAUCUCAAACAAUGGUGUGAAAAGAAUAAUCAUGGGCUCCGGGACUGAGGGGCUAGUUCCUGCUCAGAUGUCUGUGUGCUGGUUUCCCAGGAGUUAAACUGUCCUGUACUGUGUGUGGUCUGCUCCCAUAGGACCUGCCAGGACACAGAGAAUUCCGAUGUGGAAAAUGGCAGAAGGCUCUGUGAGCACCCAGGAGGAAGAGUGCCCUAAAGAGUGCCCUACUGUUUAGGGUGGGAGAAGAGGACCCUAUUUCACUUUCUUGCCGCUAGCCUGGGCUGUUGAACCAGGAGGGAUGUGAUCCCCUGAAGUCCAUUCUCCCCGCACAGCCUAUUGCCAGUAACUCACUAUGGGCAGCUGUCAAGGUGAGCAGUGACUCUGGGCAAGAUUUCAGUGUCAGGCGGACUAGGAGCAUGGAGUUGGCCCUAGAGAACACCCAGAAUCCACAUUUAUCUCCUUUCUUUCAUUAUCUCCAGGGCCCUAUACCAGCUCCUGAAAGAAGUGCAUGUGGUAAUUUUUGAUACAAACAUUCCUUGUGUAUGUACCAUAAAUGCCUCCUCCAUCUGAGGCUGCAAUGUGUCUUUUUUCAAGGUGGCAAUGUGCUUUUCCACAUUAAUAAGAAUUGUGUCUUCGGUGGCAACAGUCUUUUGCUAUCCUAUACCAAUGGAGGGCCUAGGCUGAGUCCCUCAGGAUGUGACAUCUUACUCCACAGUCUUCUCUGCAGUGUGCAGAACAGAAUUAUGGGUCUCAGGGUCUCAGGGUCCUUUGAUGAGGGAACUCAGUGCUGGGCCAUUAGUGGCUCCUGUCUCCUGUCUUGGGUAGGGGCCACUGGCUACUGAAAAACAUCUGAGUCCCCCAGAGGGAUAAUGAGGAGGAAAAGGAGACACAGAGUAAGACAGGGAGGAGUGGGAGAUUGGCUUGGGAGGAUGUUGUGUUGCCAAGGAGCCCACUGUGCUGCUUCUCCUUUUCAUGCCAUCAGAACUGUGAGACAACCACAAGUCACCAGAAGGGGCUGAGAUUAUCAUAGGUCAGGAGGCUGUGGACUCCAAGAAUGUUGAGGACAAAAGAGAAAGAUCUCUCAUCAGAGCUGUGAGCUGGCCCUCUGCAAGCCUCCUCCUCCUCCACAGCCUGCGCUGGGGUCACAAGGGAAUUUACUGGGCUUUUAUUAUGUCCUUUGUUUCUGCUGCUUUUGAAGAGGCUGUGUUUCUUUACUUUGAGGACAAGCUGAGUGGAGAGGAAAUGAACAUCAUCAUUGGUUCAAAUCUACACCCUCCUCCCGCAGUAGCUUCCCUUCUC
rnacentral:lncRNA from 1 species